GACGUAGGGUGCGAGCGUUUGUCCGGAUUUAUUGGGCGUAAAGGGCUCGUAGGCGGUCCGUCACGUCGGGAGUGAAAACUCGGGGCUUAACCCCGAGCCUGCUUCCGAUACGGGCGGACUAGAGGUAGGUAGGGGAGAACGGAAUUCCUGGUGUAGCGGUGGAAUGCGCAGAUAUCAGGAGGAACACCGGUGGCGAAGGCGGGUCGCUGGGCCGUUCCUGACGCUGAGACGCGAAAGCUAGGGGAGCGAACAGG
rnacentral:rRNA from 1 species